rnacentral:rRNA from 1 species
UACAGAGGUCUCAAGCGUUGUUCGGAUUCAUUGGGCGUAAAGGGUGCGUAGGCGGCCCCAUAAGUCCGCUGUGAAAGUCAAAGGCUCAACCUUUGAAAGCCGGUGGAUACUGUGGGGCUAGAGUACGGAAGAGGCGAGUGGAAUUCCUGGUGUAGCGGUGGAAUGCGCAGAUAUCAGGAGGAACACCAAUAGCGAAGGCAGCUCGCUGGGACGUUACUGACGCUGAGGCGCGAAAGCGUGGGGAGCGAACAGG